GUCACGUAGAUCACUCUUCUCCGACAUAAACAGGAAGUACAGCGACCGACUGGUCACAUGACUGCCCGUGCAGGAGGAGGAACUUCUACAAACGGAAAGGAAAAGUUCGCAGGGAGCGGAUCCAAGGGUUGCAAAGACGAUCCAUCCAUCAUGACAGAAAUGUAUUCAUAUAAAAAAAAUUCUUACAAAACGUGCAGCCUGCGGGUCGUGAACAUGUGGAGGAGGAUGAAGUGCAAAGAGAAGCAUACAGUCAGUCAAUAAUAAUUAUAAAAUCAACACUUCGUGGCUGGUUUGGGACGCUGUCUGUCGGAGCACUCAUGCCUUCUCAUAGUUCCUGUCAUCAGCGGUGGCUUCGUCAAACUCCUCUCCCAGCUUAAAGGAGAUCUCUGUGUUUUUGAAGGUGCUCUGGGUGCGAAUCACCACCUUGUCGCCCUCCUGGCUGAUGAUC